rnacentral:rRNA from 1 species
CCUACGGGAGGCAGCAGUGAGGAAUAUUGGUCAAUGGACGAGAGUCUGAACCAGCCAAGUCGCGUGAAGGAAGACGGCACUAUGGGUUGUAAACUUCUUUUGUCUGGGGAUAAAGUCCGCUAUGUGUAGCGGUUUGUAGGUACCUGGUGAAUAAGGAUCGGCUAACUCCGUGCCAGCAGCCGCGGUAAUACGGAGGAUCCGAGCGUUAUCCGGAUUUAUUGGGUUUAAAGGGUGCGGAGGCGGUCGUUUAAGUCAGCUGUGAAAUUGUGGGGCUCAACCCUGGCCUGGCCGUUGAUACUGGCGUGCUCGAGUUGAGGAGAGGUAGGCGGAAUGCGUGGUGUAGCGGUGAAAUGCAUAGAUAUCACGAAGAACCCCGAUUGCGAAGGCAGCUUACCGGCCUCUCACUGACGCUGAGGCACGAAAGUGUGGGUAUCAAACAGGAUUAGAUACCCUAGUAGUC